UAUCUUUGCGACAGGGACGCGGCGCUGC
rnacentral:sRNA from 1 species